AAAAUGGCUCUUUUCAGAGCCGUCAAAAUUAAUUUUUAAGAGUUC
rfam:Lutzomyia longipalpis Contig16016, whole genome shotgun sequence.